ACACAUGCAAGUCGAACGGGAUCCUUUCUAGCUUGCUAGGGGGGUGAGAGUGGCGAACGGGUGAGUAACGCGUGAUUAACCUGCCGUGUAGUUUGGAAUAGCUCCUGGAAACGGGUGGUAAUGCCGAAUGUUCCACAUGCUCGCAUGGGUGUGUGGGAAAACGUUUUAGUGCUAUGCGAUGGGAUCGCGUCCUAUCAGCUUGUUGGUGGGGUAGUGGCCUACCAAGGCUUCGACGGGUAGCCGGCCUGAGAGGGCGACCGGCCACAUUGGGACUGAGAUACGGCCCAGACUCCUACGGGAGGCAGCAGUGGGGAAUAUUGCACAAUGGGGGGAACCCUGAUGCAGCGACGCCGCGUGCGGGAUGACGGCCUUCGGGUUGUAAACCGCUUUUAUUGGGGAGCAAGCGUGAGUGAGUGUACCUUUUGAAUAAGCACCGGCUAACUACGUGCCAGCAGCCGCGGUAAUACGUAGGGUGCAAGCGUUGUCCGGAAUUAUUGGGCGUAAAGAGCUCGUAGGCGGUUUGUCGCGUCUGGUGUGAAAGUCCAUCGCUUAACGGUGGAUUGGCGCUGGGUACGGGCAGGCUAGAGUGUAGUAGGGGAGACUGGAAUUCUCGGUGUAACGGUGGAAUGUGUAGAUAUCGGGAAGAACACCAAUGGCGAAGGCAGGUCUCUGGGCUAUUACUGACGCUGAGGAGCGAAAGCGUGGGGAGCGAACAGGAUUAGAUACCCU
rnacentral:rRNA from 1 species